GACGAACGCUGGCGGCGUGCUUAACACAUGCAAGUCGAACGAAGAGCGAUGGAAGCUUGCUUCUAUCAAUCUUAGUGGCGAACGGGUGAGCAACGCGUAAUCAACCUGCCCUUCAGAGGGGGACAACAGUUGGAAACGACUGCUAAUACCGCAUACGAUCUAACCUCGGCAUCGAGGAUAGAUGAAAGGUGGCCUCUACAUGUAAGCUAUCACUGAAGGAGGGGAUUGCGUCUGAUUAGCUAGUUGGAGGGGUAACGGCCCACCAAGGCGAUGAUCAGUAGCCGGUCUGAGAGGAUGAACGGCCACAUUGGGACUGAGACACGGCCCAGACUCCUACGGGAGGCAGCAGUGGGGAAUCUUCCGCAAUGGACGAAAGUCUGACGGAGCAACGCCGCGUGAGUGAUGACGGCCUUCGGGUUGUAAAGCUCUGUUAAUCGGGACGAAAGGCCUUCUUGCGAAUAGUGAGAAGGAUU
rnacentral:rRNA from 1 species